AAGACGGAUGCCAAGGCGACCACGUGCCAUGUCCCUCCGCAGGUGCCAGCUUAUACCAACCAUCUGUGUGGAUGCCAUAUUCUCCCGUUUUUCUAGACGAUUUGCAUUUGAAUCUGCUGCGCGCUCGGAGGGGAAGCAGUAAAGGUUUUAAGGGGCUUUUUGAUGAGAGGUUCCGGCAGGACACUUAGGAGCAGCGUUUAGGCUUUCAACUAGAAAGCCAUUAAAGGUGAUCCAGUGGUAAGCAGUUGAGGUGCGCCUCUGCCUGACGAUGGGAGAGAUGUGAGAAAAGGUGCCACAGCAUGAACAGGAGAGGAAGACUGUGUCUCUCUUUGUGUUUGUCACUGCAAGACAUUUUGUCAAGUCCUCAGCAUGGGGAUGUUUGAGGUAUGUGCAUGCCAAGUGCUUACCAACAGAUCUUGUAUCUGGUAAUGACUUCAGUGGAUUUGGCAUACUCCUUCACGUCUCCUGAGAUGAUGGGAGGAUCAAC